rnacentral:lncRNA from 1 species
UCACAACCCACAAAAAUCGGCUGAGCUAAAAAUAGGCUGAAAUAAUGGCAUGCAACUUUGAUUUUUUCAACUUUAGAUGAUUUUGAAUUGACGUCAUCUUCUUCUUCACUUCAUCUUUAAUUUACAAGCUACUACUCUAAGAUUUUUGAAUUGAAGUGAUCUUCUUCUUCACUUUAUUUUCAAUUUACAAGUUUCUACUCUUUUUUCAAUCUCAUCUAUUUUUGUGAAAAUAAAUUUAAUCACCUCAACGACCCCGCAAUGAUAAAGAAGUUACAAAAGAAAUUGAUCGAAACAUAAAAAUAAAUCAAUGACGUCAUCUUCAAAAACAAAAUCUAAAGAGAACACAUCACGAUGGCCUUCACCAAAGGUAUGCCAAAAAGUAUCAUUAGUUCUAUUGUGCUUCUGAUAAUUUGAAAUGACAAAUCGUAUUCCAAAUCUCCUAGUCAAUUAUGUAUCAUCAACUGAUUUGUGCAUUAUGAUACAUUACAUUUAUGUAUGAGAUCACACCAUAGCCAUAUGGAUUGAUUGGCAUGACAAAAAAAUACAUUUUUAUUUAUAUAUCAAAUCUUAUCAUUGUCGUUCAGAUACAUAAUAGUUGAAAAGAUACAUAUAAUUUAUUUAUCAGUUCACCUCAAAUGCUUUGCAGAUACAUACAUAAAAAAAAAGAUACAUGACAUUUAUGUACCUUUUCUUAGAAAGAUACAUAUCCUAUGUUAUACUAUGUUAUACAAAGGGGGUCCUCCUAUUACCCCCUGAACUAGAUUUUAGCGUAUUUUUAUCAAUCUUUUUAGCUGAUGUGACACCUUUGACAUGAGCCUCAUUUUAUAUAAUAAAGGUGCCAAAUCAACAUAAAAAGGUAAAAAAAAUAUGUUAAAAUUGAGCUCAGAGGGUAAUAGGGUCCCUGUCAAGUUGGAGUGUGUCGUAGCAACUCUGAUCAUAGUUCGGGAGGUACUAGAUGUUUAUCUCUUUUUGUUAAUUACAAUUUUUAAUGUUUGCAGGGCAUGGAAUGUUCAUUGUGAUUACAUAAUAAGAUUCAAAAAAGUGAAAAACACAGAUUGUGAAUUUUGUUAGAAUUCGAACAAAUUAGCUUGAUUCUAUAUAAGAAAUUUGAUUCUGCAUUCUGUUUCUGUUUUUAAGGGGUGAAACAACCAUAUUCCAAUCACUAUUUCGUUAAUUGCUCCUUGAAUAGUACUAGUUUAGUUAGUUGUUGUUUUUAAAAUUCUUUUUUUUUUUAAAAUGUUUCUUCAGCAAAUUUAUCUUUACACAUUUAUGUAUUAGGUGAGCAUAAAAGAAGGAGUUUUCUGUAAUUAUGAUAAAUAUCAAUUUUUUUUUGUAAUUAUGAUAGAUAUCAAAAUUUUCUGUAAUUAUGGCUCAAACUAUCGGUAUUUAUGAAAUUGCCCAAAAUUUUCAUUUUAUCCUUGCAAAUGAAAUUCCUUUUUAAGUGUAUACAAAUUAUAAAUUUUUUAAAAAAUUUCGUAACGGUUACAUUAGUAAAAUUAUUCUUCUUAUUUAUGAUUUCUUAAGGACGUGUAAAGGAUAAAGUGAACAACUAAUAUGAUAAUUUAAAAUCAUAAAAUUAAAAAAAAAAUUUCUUAUCAAAUUAAAAUACUUAAAUAGAGAUGGAAGGUGUACAAUAUCAAAGACUAAAGAUACACCAAUCAUUAUGAUCCAUACAACUUAAGGGGUUGUUUGACUGGGAAAUAAGUUAUCCAGAAUUACUAAUCUCAAAUUAGCUAUUCCACCUCCAAGAAGGAAUAAAAAUAACACUACGAUCCUGAGACUGCUAAUUCCGGAGUAAAUUUUCCAAUGACUUUUACCCCAAUCAAAUAUGAGACAAGUUCAUCUUCAAAAUAAUUUCAAAAUUAGUUAUCAUUUAUUCCUCCUAUCAAACGAUCCCUAAAAGCAAAAAAAAAACUGAGUGCCAAAACAACAAAAACAAAAAGGUAGAAUUUAAAAGAAAAAAGAAAGAAAAGAAAAAAAAAAGCCACGUGAAGCAACAUUAAUGCAGGAAUGACACAAGGGUGAGACUAGUAAAGCCUUUUCUUUAGGCCCUCAAAAUUUCAAGGCCUAAAAAAUUUUUGGUCUUAAUUUUAUUUUAUUUUCUUUUUGACGAUAUUAAAUAUAGUAAAAAAAAAAAACAAUCUAUCAUUCAAUAGAAAUGUUUUGAAACUUUAAAAUUUUUUAUAAUGAUAAAUAAUAUAUUUACAAAACCAUUCAAGGUAAUGUAUUGAGAACACAUGAUUUAACAUCUUAUUAACUUGAAUCAACCAUUACUAUUAUAAAGAAAAAUAUUAUUAUGUGAAAUAUAAUACUAUAAUAAAAACAAUUAUAAAAAAUUAAGAAAAAUGCAAUAUUAAAUUUUUAUUUAUUAUGUAUAUGUAUAUUUUUAAGACAUUAGAUUAAAAUUUAAUUUUUACACUACUAAUUUAUUGAGACGUCCUUACAAUAAAGAAUGAAAAAUUUUGUGAAGACUAUCAAAACUUUAUAACUUCCUUAUAUAUAAAUAUAGUAAUAUAAUAUGCUGAAUAAUAGUCAUUGUAUGUUGGUGUUUUUGGGUAAAAGACAUUGGUCAACAUUAAAACCGAGUAUUGUUCAACAUUAUAGCGUAAUGGAUAGACUUUCCUCUUUUAAACACUUAGGAAAGCCAUAGAGUUUUUUUUCUUUUUACUCUUCUAGCAAGUGAUGGAUUGUAGCAUAGCCAAUACUUGCGUAUUGCACCCCUCUUGUUAUUUAAAGACAUUUAAAAUUUUGAGAAUAUGAAUAUACUAUUAUAAAAAGAAUUUUGAGAAUAUGAAUAUAUUAUUAUAAAAAUAUUUGACAGAAGCUUUAAUGUAGUGAGCUGCUCUUUUAUCUAUUUUACUUUAUGCAUGUAAGUAUAUUGUACUCGAUAUGAUUUUUUAUUUUUUAUUUUCCACCUGGCGUUCGAUACUCGAAUUGGAGCCCCGACUAAUUUAAAUCGCACAUUGUAAGAGCCAUUAUAGGGUAGCGCUCCAUACCCAGAGCUCGAACUCGAGACCUCUGAUUAAGGGUGGAACAAUCCCACUACUGCACGACAACCCAUGUUGGUUACUCGAUAUGAUUUCUAAUAACUCAUAGAUUAUAUGUUUGGUCUCUCAAAAGUUGUGUCUUGCAAUCAAUUUUUGUUGUUUUAUAUACUGCACUUGCAUAGUAGUUGUUAGUCCCAUAUUCUCACUAUAUGUUUUAAUAAAGACAAACUAAUAAACAAAUAUCUUGCAGGAUAUAUUGAAGAUAUAGAAGAUCAAAAAGAUCCUUGAGGAAUCCAUCAGAAGAUCCCAGAAAGGAAGCAAGGAUUCACUCACAAGAAAGCCGAAUGAUAUCAAUCACAGAGAUCAUCGACUUCCCAGAUUUAUGACAAAUGAAUCAAUCAAGACAAAACCAAAAGGAAAGAAGAUCACACCAUCUACAUGAAAAUAUCUAAUAUGGACAUGUACAAUUGUGAAGGCUGCACCACAUACGGAUAUAUCUGAUAUGGACAUACUUUACGGUGCAAUCCCUCAAUCAAGAAAUUAUUUUUAAAUCCUUGAUUGAGAAGAAAUCUCUUGGGUUUCCUUACAAAGAAUAGCACCUGAAGAUUAUACAAGAAGAAAACUGAAGAUCAAAGCACGUACGCAACUUCAAGAAAGAAUCUCAGAGUGUCUUAAUUUUAGUCUCACAAAGUUUUAUACUUCUUAGUUUACAAUAGUUAUACAAGAAUAAGAUCGAGUCAACUUUGUAAUACAAACUGACGCUGUGUCACAAGUCUGAAAAGCAAAAUAAGUUUUCAGAAUUUGUUUACCACCAUUGUACUCGGGCUCCACUUUGUAAAGAUUUAAAGAAACACUGUAACCUAAGGGGACUGGAAGUAGGCACCACAUUGGUGUUUUGAACCAG